ACAAGGAUACAGUACAGGCAGCAAACGCUGAAUUAUGGGAGAAGAAUUCAAGACAAAGACUCUGAUUAAGGUCAAUUAGUAUGGCAAAUGGAAAUUGACAAUAGUUGUACGUUGGCAUUGUAUCUUAAGGGCUUGUUGCAGUUGGUGGAAGAUCUUUAAUCAUGUUUGUAGUUAUCCUAAAUGCUUGUAAUUCUUUGCUAGUUUGGAUUUUUGGAGGGAAGCAUAGAUUGAUCUUUAAAAGAUGUUUGCUUCGUUUCAAUUGAUCUUUAAAACAAAUUUUGUAAAUUGGUUCAAUUAUAUCAGCAACUCACAUAAAUA